GCUCUGGUAGCCUAGUGGUUAGAGCGUUCACCUCAGAUGUGGGAGAUCGUGUGUUCAAAACAAACCCAAGCCA